GACGAACGCUGGCGGCGUGCUUAACACAUGCAAGUCGAACGGUGAAGCGCCUUCCUUUUUGGUGGGUGUGGAUGAGUGGCGAACGGGUGAGUAACACGUGAGUAACCUGCCCCCUUCUUCUGGAUAACCGCAUGAAAGUGUGGCUAAUACGGGAUAUUCUGGGUCUGUCGCAUGAUGGGUCUGGGAAAGAUAUUGUUUCGGUGGGGGAUGGGCUCGCGGCCUAUCAGCUUGUUGGUGGGGUGAUGGCCUACCAAGGCGGUGACGGGUAGCCGGCCUGAGAGGGUGGACGGUCACACUGGGACUGAGACACGGCCCAGACUCCUACGGGAGGCAGCAGUGGGGAAUAUUGCACAAUGGGCGCAAGCCUGAUGCAGCGACGCCGCGUGAGGGAUGGAGGCCUUCGGGUUGUGAACCUCUUUCGCCAGUGAAGCAGGCCUGCCGCGUUUGUGGGUGGGUUGACGGUAGCUGGAGAAGAAGCGCCGGCUAACUACGUG
rnacentral:rRNA from 1 species